ACUCAAAUGAAUAGACGGGGGCCCGCACAAGCGGUGGAGCAUGUGGUUUAAUUCGAUGCAACGCGAAGAACCUUACCUACACUUGACAUCCUGCGAAUCUAGCGGAGAGGCUGGAGUGCCGAAAGGAACGCAGAGACAGGUGCUGCAUGGCUGUCGUCAGCUCGUGUUGUGAGAUGUUGGGUUAAGUCCCGUAACGAGCGCAACCCUUGUCCUUAGUUGCCAGCAAUUAGAUGGGGACUCUAAGGAGACUGCCGGUGAAGAACCGGAGGAAGGCGGGGACGACGUCAAGUCAUCAUGGCCUUUAUGUGUAGGGCUACACACGUGCUACAAUGGGGCGUACAGAGGGUCGCGAACCUGCGAAGGGGAGCCAAUCUCAAAAAGCGUCUCGUAGUCCGGAUUGGAGUCUGCAACUCGACUCCAUGAAGUUGGAAUCGCUAGUAAUCGCGAAUCAGCGACGUCGCGGUGAAUACGUUCCCGGGCCUUGCACACACCGCCCGU
rnacentral:rRNA from 1 species